AAUAUUGGACAAUGGGGGCAACCCUGAUCCAGCGAUGCCGCGUGAGUGAAGAAGGCCNNNGGGUCNUCAAGCUCUUUAGGCUGNGACNAAGGUCAUUAACGGAUAAUGUUAGUGAUUUGACGGUACCAGCAGAAUAAGCACCGGCAAACUCUGUGCCAGCAGCCGCGGUAAUACAGAGGGUGCGAGCGUUAAUCGGAUUUACUGGGCGUAAAGGGUGCGUAGGCGGAUGAAUGAGUGUGAUGUGAAAGCCCCGGGCUUAACCUGGGAAGUGCAUCGCAAACGAUUGAUCUGGAGUAGAUGAGAGGGUGGCGGAAUUUCCGGUGUAGCGGUGAAAUGCGUAGAGAUCGGAAGGAACGUCGAUGGCGAAGGCAGCCACCUGGCAUCAUACUGACGCUGAGGCACGAAAGCGUGGGUAGCGAACAGG
rnacentral:rRNA from 1 species